CCUUUAUCAAAAAACUCAUUUAAUUUGCUUUUCAGUCCUGAAUGAAGUGCCAUUUCCUGCUGAAAGUAUCUAAAAUUCAACUUUGAAAUUAUAUAUUUAUUUAUGUUUGGUAAACACUGCAAAAUGGUGUGGGAUUUUGUUAAGGUAGCUCAAAUUUUUCUUACCUCUUAUAGUAUAAGAAAUUUCUAUUAUAUAUUUAGGUACCUGUGUUCUCUGGAGUGCUGUAAAACAGACAGUGAUAGACCACUGAAAGUAUCACUGAAUCUUCCUUGUGAUAACCUGGACUAGAUGCAAUUACAGGAUUUGUAGAGUCACACAACUGUGAAGGGAUGAAUGGAAAAUAUAACUGUGCUCUGAAGAGAAAUGAGAGCAUUUCAUGUGGCUGG
ensembl:lncRNA